rnacentral:rRNA from 1 species
UACGUAGGAUGCAAGCGUUGUCCGGAUUUAUUGGGAGUAAAGAGUGCGUAGGCGGCAUUAUAAGUAGGUCGUGAAAUAUCCCGGCUCAACCGGGAGGGUGCGAUGUAGACUAGGGAGCUAGAGGUCGGUAGAGGGGGGUGGAAUUGCUGGUGUAGCGGUGAAAUGCGUAGAGAUCAGCAGGAACACCCGUGGCGAAGGCGGCCCCCUGGGCCGUACCUGACGCUGAGGCGCGAAGGCUAGGGGAGCGAACGGG